rnacentral:rRNA from 1 species
UACGAAGGGGGGCUAGCGUUGCUCGGAAUCACUGGGCGUAAAGGGUGCGUAGGCGGGAUCUUAAGUCAGAGGUGAAAGCCUGGAGCUCAACUCCAGAACUGCCUUUGAUACUGGGAUUCUUGAGUUCGGAAGAGGUAGGUGGAACUGCGAGUGUAGAGGUGAAAUUCGUAGAUAUUCGCAAGAACACCAGUGGCGAAGGCGGCCUACUGGUCCGAUACUGACGCUGAGGCACGAAAGCGUGGGGAGCAAACAGGG